AACGAACGCUGGCGGCAUGCCUAACACAUGCAAGUCGAACGAAACCUUCGGGUCGAGUGUCGCACGGGUGCGUAACGCGUGGGAACCUGCGCUUAGGUUGGGAAUAACUCCCCGAAAGGGGUGCGAAUACCGGGUAAUUACUGCGGACCAAGGAUUUAUCGGCUGUGGGUGUGCGCGCGUUGGGUUAGCUAGGUGGUAGGGUACAAGCCUACCAAGGCGACGAGCCAUAGCUGGUCUGAGAGGAUGUUCAGCCACACUGGGACUGAGACACGGCCCAGACUCGUACGGGAGGCAGCAGUGGGGAAUAUUGGACAAUGGGCGAGAGCCUGAUCCAGCACUGCCGCGUGAGUGAUGAAGGCGUUAGGGUUGUAAAGCAGCAUUAGCCGAGCUGAUAAUGACAGUACCGGGAGAAGAAGCACCGGCUAACUACGUG
rnacentral:rRNA from 1 species